rnacentral:rRNA from 1 species
CCGGCGAUGUCCGAAUGGGGAAACCCAGUGCAAUUCGUUGCACUAUCGUUAACUGAAUACAUAGGUUAACGAGGCGAACCGGGGGAACUGAAACAUCUAAGUACCCCGAGGAAAAGAAAUCAACCGAGAUUCCCCCAGUAGCGGCGAGCGAACGGGGAGCAGCCCAGAGUCUGAAUCAGCUUGUGUGUUAGUGGAACGGUCUGGAAAGUCCGACGGUACAGGGUGAUAGUCCCGUACACCAAAAUGCACAGGUUGUGAACUCGAAGAGUAGGGCGGGACACGUGGUAUCCUGUCUGAAUAUGGGGGGACCAUCCUCCAAGGCUAAAUACUCCUGACUGACCGAUAGUGAACCAGUACCGUGAGGGAAAGGCGAAAAGAACCCCGGCGAGGGGAGUGAAAAAGAACCUGAAACCGUGUACGUACAAGCAGUGGGAGCACCUUCGGGUGUGACUGCGUACCUUUUGUAUAAUGGGUCAGCGACUUAUAUUCUGUAGCAAGGUUAACCGUAUAGGGGAGCCGCAGGGAAACCGAGUCUUAACUGGGCGUUAAGUUGCAGGGUAUAGACCCGAAACCCGGUGAUCUAGCCAUGGGCAGGUUGAAGGUUGGGUAACACUAACUGGAGGACCGAACCGACUAAUGUUGAAAAAUUAGCGGAUGACUUGUGGCUGGGGGUGAAAGGCCAAUCAAACCGGGAGAUAGCUGGUUCUCCCCGAAAGCUAUUUAGGUAGCGCCUCGUGAACUCAUCUUCGGGGGUAGAGCACUGUUUCGGCUAGGGGGUCAUCCCGACUUACCAACCCGAUGCAAACUACGAAUACCGAAGAAUGUUAUCACGGGAGACACACGGCGGGUGCUAACGUCCGUCGUGAAGAGGGAAACAACCCAGACCGCCAGCUAAGGUCCCAAAGUCAUGGUUAAGUGGGAAACGAUGUGGGAAGGCACAGACAGCCAGGAUGUUGGCUUAGAAGCAGCCAUCAUUUAAAGAAAGCGUAAUAGCUCACUGGUCGAGUCGGCCUGCGCGGAAGAUGUAACGGGGCUAAACCAUGCACCGAAGCUGCGGCAGCGACACUAUGUGUUGUUGGGUAGGGGAGCGUUCUGUAAGCCUGCGAAGGUGUGCUGUGAGGCAUGCUGGAGGUAUCAGAAGUGCGAAUGCUGACAUAAGUAACGAUAAAGCGGGUGAAAAGCCCGCUCGCCGGAAGACCAAGGGUUCCUGUCCAACGUUAAUCGGGGCAGGGUGAGUCGACCCCUAAGGCGAGGCCGAAAGGCGUAGUCGAUGGGAAACAGGUUAAUAUUCCUGUACUUGGUGUUACUGCGAAGGGGGGACGGAGAAGGCUAUGUUAGCCGGGCGACGGUUGUCCCGGUUUAAGCAUGUAGGCUGAUUGUCCAGGCAAAUCCGGAUAAUCAAGGCUGAGGUGUGAUGACGAGGCACUACGGUGCUGAAGUAACAAAUGCCCUGCUUCCAGGAAAAGCCUCUAAGCAUCAGGUAACAUCAAAUCGUACCCCAAACCGACACAGGUGGUCAGGUAGAGAAUACCAAGGCGCUUGAGAGAACUCGGGUGAAGGAACUAGGCAAAAUGGUGCCGUAACUUCGGGAGAAGGCACGCUGGUGUGUAGGUGAAGUCCCUGCGGAUGGAGCUGAGACCAGUCGAAGAUACCAGCUGGCUGCAACUGUUUAUUAAAAACACAGCACUGUGCAAACACGAAAGUGGACGUAUACGGUGUGACGCCUGCCCGGUGCCGGAAGGUUAAUUGAUGGGGUUAUCCGUAAGGAGAAGCUCUUGAUCGAAGCCCCGGUAAACGGCGGCCGUAACUAUAACGGUCCUAAGGUAGCGAAAUUCCUUGUCGGGUAAGUUCCGACCUGCACGAAUGGCGUAAUGAUGGCCAGGCUGUCUCCACCCGAGACUCAGUGAAAUUGAACUCGCUGUGAAGAUGCAGUGUACCCGCGGCAAGACGGAAAGACCCCGUGAACCUUUACUAUAGCUUGACACUGAACAUUGAGCCUUGAUGUGUAGGAUAGGUGGGAGGCUUUGAAGCGUGGACGCCAGUCUGCGUGGAGCCAACCUUGAAAUACCACCCUUUAAUGUUUGAUGUUCUAACGUUGGCCCCUGACCGGGGUUGCGGACAGUGUCUGGUGGGUAGUUUGACUGGGGCGGUCUCCUCCCAAAGCGUAACGGAGGAGCACGAAGGUUAGCUAAUCCUGGUCGGACAUCAGGAGGUUAGUGCAAUGGCAUAAGCUAGCUUGACUGCGAGCGUGACGGCGCGAGCAGGUGCGAAAGCAGGUCAUAGUGAUCCGGUGGUUCUGAAUGGAAGGGCCAUCGCUCAACGGAUAAAAGGUACUCCGGGGAUAACAGGCUGAUACCGCCCAAGAGUUCAUAUCGACGGCGGUGUUUGGCACCUCGAUGUCGGCUCAUCACAUCCUGGGGCUGAAGUAGGUCCCAAGGGUAUGGCUGUUCGCCAUUUAAAGUGGUACGCGAGCUGGGUUUAGAACGUCGUGAGACAGUUCGGUCCCUAUCUGCCGUGGGCGCUGGAGAAUUGAGGGGGGCUGCUCCUAGUACGAGAGGACCGGAGUGGACGCAUCACUGGUGUUCGGGUUGUCAUGCCAAUGGCACUGCCCGGUAGCUAAAUGCGGAAGAGAUAAGUGCUGAAAGCAUCUAAGCACGAAACUUGCCCCGAGAUGAGUUCUCCCUGAGACUUUAAGUCUCCUGAAGGAACGUU